rnacentral:rRNA from 1 species
GACAGAGGGUGCAAACGUUGCUCGGAAUCACCGGGCGUAAAGGGCGUGUAGGCGGGAAGGAUAGUCAGAUGUGAAAGCCCUGGGCUCAACCCAGGAACUGCAUUUGAAACUCCCUUUCUUGAGUGUCGGAGAGGAAAGCGGAAUUCCUGGUGUAGAGGUGAAAUGCGCAGAUAUCAGGAGGAACACCAAUUGCGAAGGCAGCUCGCUGGGACGUAACUGACGCUGAGACGCGAAAGCGUGGGGAGCAAACAGG